rnacentral:rRNA from 1 species
AAUAUUGGACAAUGGGGGCAACCCUGAUCUAGCCAUGCCGCGUGUGUGAAGAAGGUCUACGGUUUNUAAAGCACCUUAAGUUGGGANGAAGGGCUUUAGGCUAAUACCCUGAAGUUUUGACGUUACCAACAGAAUAAGCACCCGCUAACUCAGUGCUAGCAGCCGCGGUAAUACAGAGCGUGCAAGCGUUAAUCGGAAUUACUGGGCGUAAAGGGCGCGUAGGUGGUACAGUAAGAGGGGUGUGGAAUCCCCGGGCUUAAACUUGGAACUUCUUUCAUAACUGCUGAGCUAGAGUACGGUAGAGGGUAGUAGAAUUUCCUGUGUAGCGGUGAAAUGCGUAGAUAUAGUAAGGAACACCAGUGGCGAAGGCGACUACCUGGACUGUUACUGACACUGAGGUGCGAAAGCGUGGGGAGCAAAC